GACGAACCGUGCGAACGUUAUUCGGAAUCACUGGGCUUAAAGCGCGUGUAGGCGGCCCGGAACGUCCGUCGCUGAAAUCCCCCGGCUCAACCGGGGAAGGGGCGGGGAUACGGCCGGGCUGGAGGGGGGUAGGGGGAUCGGGAACUUCCGGUGGAGCGGUGAAAUGCGUUGAGAUCGGAAGGAACGCCCGUGGCGAAAGCGCGGUCCUGGACCCCGCCUGACGCUGAGACGCGAAAGCCAGGGGAGCAAACAGG
rnacentral:rRNA from 1 species